AUUGAACGCUGGCGGCAGGCCUAACACAUGCAAGUCGGGCGAGCCGCGGACGGGUGAGUAACGUAUGGGGAUCUGCCUUAUGGAGGGGGAUAACUACUGGAAACGGUAGCUAAUCCCGCAUACCAUCAGAUGAACCCAUAUGGUAUUAGCUUGUAGGUAAGGUAACGGCUUACCACGGCGACGAUCCCUAGCUGGUCUGAGAGGAUGAUCAGCCACACUGGGACGGAGACACGGCCCAGACUCCUACGGGAGGCAGCAGUGGGGAAUAUUGCGCAAUGGGCGAAAGCCUGAUGCAGCCAUGCCGCGUGUGUGAAGAAGGCCUUCGGAUUGUAAAGCACUUUCAGUCGGGAGGCGUUACCGACAGAAGAAGCACCGGCUAACUCCGUGCCAGCAGCCGCGGUAAUUC
rnacentral:rRNA from 1 species